CCUACGGGUGGCUGCAGUGAGGAAUAUUGGUCAAUGGUCGGGAGACUGAACCAGCCAAGCCGCGUGAGGGAUGAAGGUACCGAGCAUCGUAAACUUCUUUUGUCAGGGGACAAAAUCAGGGUCGUGUCCCUGACUGAGGGUACCUGAAGAAAAAGCAUCGGCUAACUCCGUGCCAGCAGCCGCGGUAAUACGGAGGAUGCGAGCGUUAUCCGGAUUUAUUGGGUUUAAAGGGUGCGCAGGCGGUCUGUUAAGUCAGCGGUCAAAGCCCGGGGCUCAACCCCGGCGAGCCGUUGAAACUGGCUGUCUUGAGAUGGCGAGAGGUAUGCGGAAUGCGCGGUGUAGCGGUGAAAUGCAUAGAUAGUGCGCAGAA
rnacentral:rRNA from 1 species